GGUAGAGUUAUAAAUUUGUUUCUAAAUAGAAAACUAUUUGCUGGAGUCAAUAUUUUGAAGACCAAAGUCCCAAAUUCUCUCUCGUGCCUGGCCAGCAUCCUAAACCUUACUGGUAGCCGGAGAAUGGCGUAAAACGGCGGCGAUCUUCUUCUUCAUCUUAUUCUCUCUCUCAUCGUUUCAGGUAAGCUUGUGAUUAUGAGUUUCUUCGCUUUCUUAGCUUGUAAUUAUAGGUUUUGAUUUCUUUAAUUCGUUUUGUAGCCAUUAAUGUCAAUUUUUGUCCCACCGGCAAUGUUUUUUGUUCCUAGAAGUUGAAGCCCUUCUGUUCUUGUGCCAUUGGUGAGUUUGCUCACUCAAAUUAAUUUUGUUCUGCGGAGUUUACAAAGUUCAAAUGGACUCAUUUGGAUUACUAUUGAAUUUAGCUUUAAUUCCAACAUCCAUUCUAAUGUUUUGCCAUUAGAUUUACUUUAAUUUUAUCUUUAAAGCUUCUACAAUGAAUAGCGGAGCUUGGGUUUUAGUUUCAAUUUCUAAUUAACUUGUUUUAGUUUAUCUUAUAUGCUCGCCAAGUGCUUGUUAUAUUGUCUGAUAAGUUAUAUAACAUUGCUGAUUCUAUAUUAGUAAUGUCAUGUUCCAUUUUCGGAAAUUAUAACACAAAAGUUUUUACAAUGGCUUGCAUCUACAAACUGAAUUGACUUGUAGAGUAAGAGCUUGGAUUAGUGUUAUGUUCUUGAAUAAAUGAAAGUUCAUAUUGUGUAAGAGCAUGUAGAUGUAAAGCAUCACUACCAUUUCUACAAACUGCUUUCAUUCUGUUCAGAUGCUCCUCUUGAACUUUGAAAGGUGCCUCAUUCAAGUCCUAGCUGUAACUACUAGCUCUGAUUGCUUAAGUUCCUGUGCUAGCUGAAACAGAUUUAUUUAAUUAAUUAAUUGUGUAUGUACUAAUUAUAUUGAACGUAUAUGAAGAAAUUGUUUAACAUGAAUGACUUCUAAAUGACUUAAAAGCCUAAAGGAUAUGUGAAAUAAUGCUCAUUUCACUUGAACGAGCCUAUUAAUACUUGUAUGUCUGAUGGUUGUCGAAGCCAACAAAAAUAAAUUCAUACUCUAAAUAAAUUGUGUAUAGUGAUUGAGCAAGGUCAUGUCCACAGAGAUCGGUAAUUAUUUAAAUCCUUUUGAAACGUAAAACGUAAAAUGGGGGAAUUGUUGACAAUAAUAAAAAUCAAAUUAAAAUAACAAGAAUGCAAAUUAAAGUUGUAAUUCAAAUUAGAGAAAGCUCUGGUUGAAGGAAUUAAUUCAGCUUGAUUCGACUACUGAUCAUUGAUUCAAAUAUAGAUUAUUAUUACUUAUGAAUAGACCGGUUAUAGCUACUGAGACCCUCUAAUAGCCAAUCUCUCCUUAACUAGUCGAUAACCAAGGUACGACUGUUGGUUAUUUCCCUAAUCAAUAGACAACCCUAGAUACGAUCAUAGGAUUUAAUCAAUUGACAGCCUGAAAAACCAGAGAGACCCAAAUCCUAAUCAACACAUACGAUGAUUCAUUUAAAUUAGAUUGUUUAUUCUCACAACACAACUCUCUGCUAUGUUAUUUGUCACAAACAUUAAAUUCUUCAUACGAUGAAUCCUUUAAUUGACAAUAGAUUAAGUUGAUAAUUAAAUAGUGGCCAAUUACCUAAUUAACAAACAUAAUCAUGAAAAUAAUUCAGAGAAUAAACAAAUACCCAAAAAGUAAUAAAACAAUUAAAGCAUAAAAUAGAUCUCACAAUAGUGAUGAAUCAAAGCUUCAUUAUCCUUCAACCAGAAAAAUAUAUUUAGUUCUUCAUAGAGAGAAGAGAAAAGUUUAGAUCUAGGGUUUCUUUCUCUUCUCUUCAAAAGUCCCAUUUUUCACAAUAGAUUCCUCUCUUAAAUACUCUCUCUCUCUUCUCCUCUAGAAUUCUAUUUAAAAUAAAAUACUAAUAUAUGAAAUAUUAAAUUCGUAAUUACAAAAAUAACCAAAAAUACAAAACACGUUAAACUAAAAACUGUAGGUCCGUAGUUGCAGCACGCGCCCACGCGUUAUCAACAAAGUUCUUCUGACGCUCAUAAUUUCUCCAAGAAAGCAAUCAUCUUUAAACAUCAUCUUAUAGCUCAAUUUUAUCACAAAUCAAUAGAAUUGCACCUACAAAAGUAAAACACAAGUAAAUUAUCAUUAUUAAGUGCAAAACAUCAAUAUUAAGGGAAGUAAACAAUGCAAAACUAGUGCAUAAAUUGCACUCUAACAAAUUCCCCCACACAAAGAUGAUGCUUGUCCUCAAGCAUAUAACUCAAGACUAAUCCCAAAUCUCCACUCAAUUCUCAUCUCAACUCAUCCAAAAACAAUUUUAAGCAAGUAUACCUCAAGAAAUUAAGUCGAUCAACAUUCGAGAGACAAGGAUUUUAAAGCAUAGAAUCUCAUAAGAUAGAAUAAGAACAUUCAACCACCAAGAAGAUCCAUUCAAAAUUCAAGUGCAACAAGAUUUAAUAGCCCUCUCAUUGACCUCACUCCAUGCACUCAAAGUGUUUAGGGUGUCAUUUAUUCACUCAAAUCAAAUCAAAGAAUGUUAUUACCAUAAACUUGCUUAUAUAUCACAUCUCAAUCCACAAAACAUGAAUUAAAUGCAAAAAUCUAAGGGUCUUAAAAGGUUGUAACGGGGUUAAAUGGGUUAAAUGAAAAAGAAAAGUUUAUGAAAGAAAAAGAGAUCAAAAUGAGAAGAAUGAACUCAUUGAACGAACUUUAUGAUAUCGAAACGCUUAUUUCUACACAAGUCACCAAGAAUGUAAACAUUUUUUUUUCUUUUUCUUUUUUUUUUUCAAUUUUUUUUUUCGAUUUUUCUUUUUCUUUUUCUUUUUUUUUUUGAAUCAAACAAAAGAAACGAACCUUGCACAAUUUAAUUCAGGCAUAAUGCUUGUUGAUCUAAUUGAGAAACUUUAAUACAAGGUAGAAAAAGCAACAAAAUAUAUACAAAAUAUAUCCACACAAUGAGUCCAAAAAUCUCCUUAAAUUGAGGCUCAAAAAGAAGAAAAAUGGUUAAGUAGACGGAGAGAAUUAGAUGGGUAAUGGUUAAGGCUCAAACAAAGAUAGUAAAUCAAGGUCUUCGGGUAGAGAAAAAAAAAUGCGAGAAUAGAAAAAUGGUAAAUGGUUUGCCCUUAUCAUUUUAAUGCAAAAAAUCCGUAAUGUGGCUUCAACAUGCAUAACAAAGCAAGUUCUAGAAUAAACAAACUAAGAUUGAUAUUCACAUAACAAAAAUAAUAGAGCAAAGUGGUUGCUCAUAGGCUCAAAUCCUCACAAAGUUGGUAAAUUUGCCAUCAAAUCAUGUGCACUCUUCAAAUGAAUCAACCAUCAAUAGUGGUGUAGAAUGAGAAGAAGGUAUGAUUGAGAUAUGAAAGGAAAGGUAAAAAGGAUAAUAAGCGAGAAAGAUGUAUGUAGUAAAAAAAAUGAAUGAUAAAAUGUGAGUGAUGAAAGAGUAUGAUAGAAUAAAAAUAUAUGUAAAUAAUUUGAGGUAGAUGGGAAAAGAGUAGUGAGAGAGAAAGGAAAAGAAAAUUAAUAAUAUAUGAAGCAUACUAACUCCAAAAUCAUUUAAGGAUGAGUAGAGUGAAAAUAAUAAUUCCAAACAUCAAUAAUGUAAAAAAAUCCCUCCCCCACACCAAGAACUUACAUUGUCCUCAAUGUAAGAUAAUCAAAGCUCACAUAAAAAUUAAAGCGUAAGGAUAAAAGAUUAAAGACAAAAAAAAAAAAAAACUUCCCUGAAUUAUGAGCUUUGAUCCACAUAACGUCUAUGGGCUUGGCAGAAAUGGUGGGGUAAAUCCCACACUCUCGAAGUAUGCGGCCAAAUUCUGCUCCAUCUUGUUCAGCUUGUGCUCCAUUUUCUCUAACUGAAUGCUCAAAGGUGGUGCGGAUGUAGAAGGAAUAGUUGGCGGGGCAGCAGUGUCGUCGUCAAACUCGUCAUCAGAGGUAGCACCACUCCUAGCAUAAAGCUUCUUCGGAGGUUGAGUGGGUCCUGGUUCAGUAAAAUGAAAUCUCCCCUCCUUGAAUUCGACCAUACCUGUUCUUUCAAACACAGACAUAUCCAAAAAUUCCUUUUUGCAAGCAGGAUGCAAAUCAUUAUUGUCAGGAUCAAGCACACAUAGGUUUAUAGCUAACAGAGUAAUGUAUGGACCAAGAAAUAAAGUUCUAUACCGUUUAAGCACACUUUGAAAUUGAUCCGCUAACCAAAAACCUAAAUUAGGCCUCACAUCAUUUAACAUGCACCAGAUAAAAUAACAUUCAGUUUUAGAGAAAACUCCUGAGUGAUCUUUCUUACCGAAAAAAUUAUAUGCUAAGAAUCGAUGCACACAUUUCAAAACAGGAUCACGUAAGAAAGAACUCUUUGAUUUACUCGGGUCAUAGGCAUUGUGAUCAAUAGAUAAAUUACGCCAAAGACCAUAAGGCUCAAAAUUUUCGCUAAAGUCACAAGUUGUUCCUAAAUAUGCAUCACUAGAAGAAUAAUCAUCAUCAAUGAAUCCUAAAGCUAGGUUAAAAUCCGUGAUAGAGUGUAAAAAAUUUCGUCCCAUUAACCUAAACUUAAUGACAUCCGGGGUAUGCAAAGUAAAAUCAUUCGGCAUAUUAAAUUGAAAAGUAGCAUAAAACUUCCUAAUCAACUCAACAUAACCCAAACAAUCAACAUCAACAAACUUAUGUGACCCAAUCUUAUCUAUCAAAGAAUCAAAAUUAUCCUUAACAUUCAAUUUUUCAAGAGUCGGGUAAUGAAUAUACUUAGCUGGAAGUAUUUUGCGCGUGGAAAUAUCUUUGUACCUCUCUUUCUCUUGUUGAGUCGCGAAUGCGAGGCACUCUUUGAGAUUGGAUUCCGCAAGUGGCAAAACACUCAUGCCUUUUCCAUGUUUCGAUCUUUGUCUCACGGCUUGGCGUGAAUAUGAAAUUGUGUUCCAUGGAACCGUAGUGGGAGCGGCAAUCUUAGAUUUCUUUGCGACGAGUGUCUUUUUAGAUGACUUGGAAGUAGAUGCUUUCCUCUUCGGCAUUGUUACAAUAAUUGCACUCACGGAUUUCGAUUUACCUGGCUGGAAUACAGGGCGUAGGUUGGAUCUGCGUUGCGUUGCUGCUUGGCUGGAGCUUGCUGCGCAGGUUGGGGCUGGUUGCGCGCUGCUGCUGGUUGUGUUGCGCGCUGCUGCUGGUUGUGUUGCGUGAUGCUGCGCGCUGCGGGUGGAAUUGGUUGCGCGCUGCUGGGGCUGGAUUCGGGUUGCGCGCGGGGGCUGGGGAUGCUGGUGCGCGCUGCGGGUGGGACUAAUGCGCUGCGCUGAGGCUAAUUCGCGUUGCUGGGGCUGCGUUGUGGGAUGCUGGUGCUGUGUUGCGUUGCGCGCGGCUGCUGCUGCUGCAUGGCUGCGGCUGCUGCUGCUGCGGGUGAAAACGAUAAUCAACAGUGAAUUUUUAUUUUAUUUUUUUGAAUUAGGGAUUUAUGAACAGUGAUUUGUGAUUUUUGUUUUUUUUUUGUUUUUUUUAAAUAAAAAAAAUAUGUAUAUAUAAAAGAAAGAAAAGAAGGAAAAAAAAUAAUAUUUUUUUUUUUGUGAUGAAUCACUUUGAGACACUAAAAAUUUCAGAAGUACUUUUCUAAUAAGCACGUGGGCACGCCUUAAAACCAUUUUAUUUUAAAAAUCACAGAAGUACUUAUUAGUUAAGACGUGGGCACGCCUUAUCAAAAAUUUUCUUCUGACCAAAAUAAGCAAACACAUUAAAAAAAAAUGAAUCAAAAUUAAAAGAAGAUAUAACAAAAACCAAAAUAAAUAAAUCAUUUGGGUUGCCUCCCAAAAAGCGUCUUUGUUUUAUGUCUUUGGCUAGACACAUUUAUGCAUCAAUCUCCAUAAUUGGGACUCUCGAGAGCCACAUCCUCCACAAUAUUCACAAAAAAACCUUCAUAAAAAGGUUUUAAGCGAUGACCAUUAACCUUAAAAAUUUUGUCAGAGGUCGGACUUCGAAUCUCAACUGCACCAUGAGGGAAAACAUUAGUAACAAUAAAAGGUCCAACCCAGCAAGAACGUAAUUUACCCGGAAAAAGUUUAAGCUUAGAAUGAAAAAGAAGAACUUUUUGACCAACAGAGAACUCCUUUCUCAAAAUCAUUCUAUCAUGAAAUGUCUUCGUUUUUUCCUUGUAAAUAACUUCCUGCACUAUAGGGUUAAUAACAUCCACAGAAAAUACCGAAUGUUCCUCACUAGGAUAUUUCAUGGCAUCAUUCAUAUUGAAUUCUAUAACCUCUCCAUCAAACUCCAUAGUGAGAGUCCCUUUAUGUACAUCCAUUUUAGUCCUAGCAGUCUUAAGAAAAGGUCUUCCUAGCAAAAUUGGGACAAAAUUGGAGGAGUUAUCCUCUUCCAUAUCAAGUGCAUAAAAAUCAGCAGGAAAAACCAACUCAUUAACUUGUACUAAGACAUCUUCUAAUACCCCAUCAGGAUAUGCAUUAGACCUAUCAACUAGUUGAAUUAUCACGCCAGUUUCUUUUAAUGGACCAACAUUCAAAGAUGAAUAAAUGGAACGAGGCAUGACAUUAAUAGAAGCUCCUAGAUCUAACAAAGCCUUUUCAAUUCUAACACUACCAAUUUUACAAGGGAUAGUAAACAUACCUGGAUCCUUGCACUUAGAGGUAGUUUCUUUUGGAGAACUGCUGAAACAUUCUCCCCCAUGUGAACUUUUUCAUCUCCUCUUAAUUUUCUCUUAGAGGUGCACAGUUCCUUAAGGACUUUAGCAUAUCGAGGUAUUUGUUUUAUAGCAUCUAAUAAAGGAAUAUUUACCUCAACCUUGCGAAAUGUCUCAAGGAUGUCUUUCUCUUGUUCCUCCUUCUUGGAUAUUGCAAACCGGCUUGGAAAAGGAGGAGGUAUCACAAUAGGUAGGGGUUUCGCUCUGGUGGGUUGCGCAUCUUGAGAUUUAGGCAUCAAUUCAUUCUUCUCAAGCUCAUCUUCUACAUGCUUUGUCACUUUCUUACUAGGCUCUUGCAACUCCUUCCCACUUCUAAGGAUGACAGCACUAACGUUUUUCUUUGGAUUCACCUCAGAUUGUGAAGGCAAUCUCCCUAAUACUUGAGACUCCAGAAGGCUCACUGUAGUCGCCAAUUGACUCAUUUGGUUCUCCAAAUUCUGAAUGCUUGUUGUAGUUGCCUGCUGAAAUUGUUGAGUGUUAGUCGCAAGUGAUUUAACAAUUUCUUCAAGAGAUAUACCUGACUUAGAGUUUGAUUGUGGAGGUGCUGGUUGUCUUGGUGGAUACUAUUGUGGGAAUCCUGACGGCCUAACUCCAUAGCUGAAGUUGGGGUGAUCCUUCCAUCCCGGAUUGUAUGUUUAUGCAUAAGGAUCAUACCUCCUCUGAGGCAUGCCUGGAAAUCCUCCAACUGCAUUGGUUUGUUCAACGGGUUCUUCUUGAAGUGUAGGACACAUAUCAGUUGAAUGACCCAUAUUGUAACAAAUGCCACAAGUCUUCACCUGUUGCACAUUACCUACAACAAACUUUUCCACAAGAGAAGUAAGUUUAUCUAAACUUUGUCCAAUAGAAGAAAUAUUUACCUCAUUUACCUUCCUUGAAGUGAGAUCUUGCCUGCUGCCAAAUUGUUGUGCGUUGGCAGCCAUAUUUGAUAUCAGCUCCUUUGCUUGAGUAGGGGUCUUGUUCACCAACACGCCUCCACUAGCAGCAUCUAUCAUACUCCUAUCCAUCAAUGACAGUCCUUCGUAAAAAUAUUGAAUAAGAUGUUGAUCAGAAAUCUGAUGCUGAGGACAGCUGGCACACAAUUGUUUGAAUCGCUCCCAAUACUCAUACAAAGUCUCCCCAGGAAGUUGUCUGAUCCCACAAAUGUCUUUUCUGAUGUUAGCAGCUCUUGAAGCAGGAAAGUAAUUCUCGAGGAAUUGCUUGUUCAAACCAUUCCACGUUGUAAUUGAUCCAGGAGGCAAGUAGUACAACCAGUCUUUAGCUAGUCCAUCUAAAGAGAAAGGAAAAACACGCAGCUUAAUCUGCUCUUCAGUCACGCCUUGUGGUCUCAUACUUGAACACACAACAUGAAACUCCUUAAGAUGUUUAUGAGGAUCUGCACCUGCAAAACCAUGAAACUUGGGUAAUAAAUGAAUAAGACCAGACUUUAAUUCAAAAUUUACCUCCAAGUCUACAUAUUGAAUGCAGAGUGGUUGUUGACUCAAGUCUGGUUCAGCUAACUCUCUAAGAGUUCUUUCUACAGGUGCAGGUCUAUCUAUCAUUUGUUCUUCUGAAUCGCUAGAUGAUUCAACUAAAUCAGGCACUGUAUCUAUUUCAGAAAGCAAAGGCGACGAGGAUCGUUACUUAGCUCGCUUCGUCUGCUGUCUCAGCUGGCGAGCUGUCUUCUCAAUUUCAGGAUCAAACGAAAGUGUACCUGUACGAGAAGAACGAACCAUACACCAAGUAAAACGUAAAAAGGAUUAAAUAAAUGACACCAAUCCCCGACAACGGCGCCAAAAUUUGAUGGUUGUCGAAGCCAACAAAAAUAAAUUCCUACUCUAAAUAAAUUGUGUAUAGUGAUUGAGCAGGGUCGUGUCCACAGAGAUCGGUAUUUAAAUCCUUUUGAAACGUAAAACGUAAAAUGGAAGAAUUGUUGAUAAUAAUAAAAAUCAAAUUAAAAUAACAAGAAUGAAAAUUAAAGUUGUAAUUCAAAUUAGAGAAAGCUCUGGUUGAAGGAAUUAAGUCAGCUUGAUUCGACUACUGAUCAUUGAUUCAAAUAUAGAUUAUUAUUACUUAUGAAUAGACCGGUUAUAGCUACUGAGACCCUCUAAUAGCCAAUCUCACCUUAACUAGUCGAUAACCAAGGUACGACCGUUGGUUAUUUCCCUAAUCAAUAGACAACCCUAGAUACGAUCAUAGGAUUUAAUCAAUUGACAGCCUGAAAAACCAGAGAGACCCAAAUUCUAAUCAACACAUACGAUGAUUAAUUUAAAUUAGAUUGUUUAUUAUCACAACACAACUCUCUGCUAUGUUAUUUGUCACAAACAUUAAAUUUUUCAUACGAUGAAUCCUUUAAUUGACAAUAGAUUAAGUUGAUAAUUAAAUAGUGGCCAAUUACCUAAUUAACAAACAUAAUCAUGAAAAUAAUUCAGAGAAUAAACAAAUACCCAAAAAGCAAUAAAACAAUUAAAGCAUAAAAUAGAUCUCACAGAAGUGAUGAAUCAAAGCUUCAUUAUCCUUCAACCAGAAAAAUAGGUUUAGUUCUUCAUAGAGAGAAGAGAAAAGUUUAGAUCUAGGGUUUCUUUCUCUUCUCUCCAAAAGUCCCCUUUUUCACAAUAGAUUCCUCUCUUAAAUACUCUCUCUCUCUUCUCCUCUAGAAUUCUAUUUAAAAUAAAAUACUAAUAUCUGAAAUAUUAAAUUCGUAAUUACAAAAAUAACCAAAAAUACAAAACACGUUAAACUAAAAACUGUAGGUCCGUAGUUGACAGCACGCGCCCACGCCUUAUCAACAAAGUUCUUCUGACGCUCAUAAUUUCUCCAAGAGAACAAUCAUCUUUAAACAUCAUCUUAUAGCUCAAUUUUAUCACAAAUCAAUAGAAUUGCAUCUACAAAAGUAAAACACAAGUAAAUCAUCAUUAUUAAGUGCAAAACAUCGAUAUUAAGGGAAGUAAACAAUGCAAAACUAGUGCAUAAAUUGCACUCUAACAAUGUCUAUGAUUGUCAAUCUUGCUUUAAGUGUUUCAGUUAAGUGGUUUACCUAACAGGGAAAAAAAUUUAAUGGAAAACUUUAGAGUUCUAACAGAAAUAUAGUUGACUGCAGAUAUAGCUAUUUUGCAGUACAUAAAUUAUGUUGUCCUAUUCUCAAUGUCCUACGACCUAUUUUAUUUUAUAUGGUCAUUCAUUUUUGCGAUGGUUUUUUGUGCUUAUGAGUAUGGAAAUAGUGGGAUUUGGUGUGGCAAACAAAAAUAUACAUAUAAUCAAGUUUCUUAAUCAUGUAUAUUGGUUUUGGGUAUGAAUGUUUUCCUAUUCUAGUUCUAGGCAAAGUUUCUUCAUUUUGGUCUUCAGAUUUCCAGUAGGUUAAGUUAAGCAACUAUCAUAACUAGCUAGCUAGUUAUUGCCUGCCUUGUCGCCAUUACAUUGCAUGGCAUAAGGAAUAGUAACUAGGUGAUUAUUGGUGAUUCGUUGAGUUUAUUAUUGGCCAAACUAACAUAUUCGCCUUUACCCACAACUUAGUUUGAUUAGAUAUUAGAUAAUAAAGAGCCUUAAUCUAUGCAUUGCUUUAUUAUUUUUAUUUGGUUUUUCUUUCAACAAUAUUGUUGAUUUCUUAUAAAAAAUAUUCAUUGGUUUUUAAACACCUAAUCAUUGGCUAUGAUGAAGCUAAUUAAAACGAAGGCUUUGGAUCAAUUUCUUCUAACAACAUACAAAUGAGCAUAACCACCCCCUCCCCCCGAACCCAAAAAAAAAAAAAAAAAAAGGAAGACUUUGCAAGAUUCACAACCAGGUUACAUUUAAUUUAUUAAUUGUGUGUACGUACUAGUUAUUUGUUGAUAGAAUAGGAAGAAGUAUUUUAAUAUGAAUGACUUAAAACUUGUUGCUCAGUAAACAUAAUGUGCAUCAGUGCUAGAAAAUGUAUUUAUUGUUUGUAAUUUUUUAUGGUUUUGCUUAAGAAAUGAAAUGUGAAAAAAUGCUACAUUGUAUUAGGAAUAAAUUGAAGAGAUUUAUGAUUUUUAUGUGUUAUUCAAGUUUCAGAUUCAAUUUUAAACUUUUGAUACAUGCAUUGAAAGCUUAAACUCCUUUAAGAAAUUAUUAAUAGACACAUGUUUUAUUAGUGUCAUCUUUUGGAUGAUAGUGAGGAUCUUAUGUCUAUUAAUAAUUCUUGAAUUAUCUAGGCUUGGACAGUUUGGUAAUGCAUAGUUUUCUAUGGUAGCUAGUGCCUGAAAUUUUUUUCCCACGUAAAAAUGGGUUUUUCAGCAGCUGCUCCUCAUGUUCUCUGGGUGCAUACUAGACAAAUGGGUGUCAUGUGUUGUUUUGGCAUAACACAUAAACACUCAUAUAUCUAUGUCGCGUACUUGAAGAACUAUAGGGAGAUGCUUCCGAAGUUUCUAUAAACGUAGAGGAAAACUUUAGAUACUUAAGAUUGAAGAAACUUAUGCAUUCUUGAGUGGGAUAUAUAGGACCACUUACCUUUUGUAAAUAUGAAGGGAAUGUUGGAUAUAUUGAUGGGAGUGGAGGAGCUGAGUGGGAUGAAUGUAAUCGGUUAUGAUUUUGCUGAGUCGACUUGGUUUUGAGUCUUGUAAUUUUGUUUAUAAAUGGAGUACUAUCUCCAAUGUUGGUUUAUAAAUAUGUUUCAGCUGGCUGACCUAAUUUUUUGUUUCUAGGUAACAGGCUUUAUAUAUCUGUAAUUGAUAGCCAAGUGAAGUUCUCAGCAGUGGGUAACAGGCUUUACAGAAGAAUACUAUAAAUAAUUCUUGAAUUAUCUAUGCUUAUUGACCAUAGAUCAAAACAAUCUCUUCCUUUUCAACCCCAUCUCUGUCAUUGCUCUGCAUCCGUAUACAUAAAGUGAUAUGAGUCGCACUAGAGUUUUUGC
rnacentral:lncRNA from 1 species